UACGAAGGGGGGCUAGCGUUGUUCGGAAUUACUGGGCGUAAAGCGCUCGGUAGGCGGAUUUGAUAAGUCAGGGGGUGAAAUCCCCGGGCUCAACCUCGGAACUGCCUUUGAUACUGCAAUCUCUAGUCCGGAGAGGUGAGUGGAAUCCUAGUGAGAGGUAAAUUCGUAGAUAUUCGCGGGAACACCAGUGGCGAAGGCGACUUGCUGGAUCUUUGCUGACGCUGAGACGCGAAAGCGUGGGGAGCAAACAGG
rnacentral:rRNA from 1 species